rnacentral:rRNA from 1 species
GACAGAGGGUGCAAGCGUUGUUCGGAAUUACUGGGCGUAAAGCGCGCGUAGGCGGCUUUGCAAGUCGGGUGUGAAAUCCCCAGGCUUAACCUGGGAACUGCAUUCGAGACUGCAUUGCUAGAGUAUGGGAGAGGGAAGUGGAAUUUCCGGUGUAGCGGUGAAAUGCGUAGAUAUCGGAAGGAACAUCAGUGGCGAAAGCGACUUCCUGGACCAAUACUGACGCUCAUGUGCGAAAGCGUGGGGAGCAAACAGG